CAUAUGUGUCAUAUAAUUAUCUUCCACCGGAGACAUUCCUGCAUAAUAUUCUUCAACGUUAUACUGCAAUUUCUCUGUUAAUGAUUUGAUUCAAUUACAAGAGAAAAAAAAAAAAACAAAAGAAAAAGAAACGAGGAAUAAAUUACCAGAAAUAGGUGUGUAGAGGGAAUAGGAAGGAACACAAUUUGUAACUUCAUCUUCAUAGAUGGGAUGACGAUGAUAAUGGUAGCAAGGAAGAUAAAACUACGUGAGUGAUAGCAGCAGUGAGACCCCAAACACGAUGUUUACCACCGAGAUAAGUAUAUGACAAAGGCUUCUUCAACUUCGUCUGGAUUUAUUUCUAAAUUUGCUGGAUCAAUUUCACCCACGUAGCCCAAUACUGGCAUUA